UGUCAAUGUUCAACCCAACCCGCGAACACGACACGAACCCGACACGGGUUUUUUCGGGUUAGGGUUGGACCUUAAUGGGUUUGGGUCAUAAACGGGUCGACCCGAAAGCGACACAAUAAGAAACGUGUCAUAAGCAGAACUUGCACAAAUGAAAUGGAUGAGCUUGUGGAAGAUGUUAUGAAUUUGGACAUCAACAAAGAAUCUAUGGAUGAUAAUCAUGGUCAUAGUCAGGAUUAGUCUACUGUUUGCUCAAAUUCUUUCAAUAUUGAUUCUUAGCAUUUGGCGAGUUUCAAGGAUAUUAUAUUUUUGUUGAACUAUGUUAUUUUAUUUUUGUUAAGCUUUGUUAUUUUGAAUUUGGGUUGAAGUGUAUGCACUUCUUUUGGAGUGUAAAGAACUUAUAUUCUAGAUGAAUAUUAUAUUUUUGUUGAACUAUAUUAUUUUGAAUAUGGGUUGAAAACUUGAAGUGUA